rnacentral:rRNA from 1 species
GACGAACCGUGCGAACGUUAUUCGGAAUCACUGGGCUUAAAGCGCGUGUAGGCGGGAGGGAACGUCGGCCGCUGAAAUCCCCCGGCUUAACCGGGGAAGUGGCGCCGAUACGGCCCUCCUGGAGGGACGUAGGGGGAGCUGGAACUUCCGGUGGAGCGGUGAAAUGCGUUGAGAUCGGAAGGAACGCCCGCGGCGAAAGCGAGCUCCUGGACGUCUGCUGACGCUGAGACGCGAAAGCCAGGGGAGCGAACGGG